rnacentral:rRNA from 1 species
UAGCGGCGAGUGAAGCGGCAAAAGCUCAAAUUUGAAAUCUGGCACUUUCAGUGUCCGAGUUGUAAUUUGAAGAAGGUAUCUUUGGGUCUGGCUCUUGUCUAUGUUUCUUGGAACAGAACGUCACAGAGGGUGAGAAUCCCGUGCGAUGAGAUGUCCCAGACCUAUGUAAAGUUCCUUCGAAGAGUCGAGUUGUUUGGGAAUGCAGCUCUAAGUGGGUGGUAAAUUCCAUCUAAAGCUAAAUAUUGGCGAGAGACCGAUAGCGAACAAGUACAGUGAUGGAAAGAUGAAAAGAACUUUGAAAAGAGAGUGAAAAAGUACGUGAAAUUGUUGAAAGGGAAGGGCUUGAGAUCAGACUUGGUAUUUUGUAUGUUACUCUCUCGGGGGUGGCCUCUACAGUUUACCGGGCCAGCAUCAGUUUGAGCGGUAGGAUAAGUGCAAAGAAAUGUGGCACUGCUUCGGUAGUGUGUUAUAGUCUUUGUCGAUACUGCCAGCUUAGACUGAGGACUGCGGCUUCGGC